AGGCCAUGGUGAGGGCAUUCUUGGAGUAGAUCCUUACUCCAUAAGUUUGGAAAAUGACUCACUAGGCUUUUGCCUAAACUGAAAGAUAUCACUUCUAAGCUU